rnacentral:lncRNA from 1 species
ACAAUAAAGAUGUGAUUAGAGGAUCCCCUCUCUUAAUGUUUAAUCAACAAUUCUGGCAUGCACGGUGAGCAUAGAUUGGUCUCUCUCAAUCUUGUUUUGCCUCCAUAUUUGCUCCUUGUCCUCAUCAACAUGUAUAAUAUAAGAGUAAUGCUAAGUAAACUAAAUUUAUAGAUUAAAUUUGCAAACUAAAUGAUGUGUCACCAAUA